GAAAGCCGUAUGCGGGAAAACCGCACGUACGGUUUAAUGAAAGGAGGCUGGACUAUACCCUGGCUCCUGCUCUACCCAAAU
rnacentral:autocatalytically_spliced_intron from 1 species